rnacentral:rRNA from 1 species
UGGGGAAUCUUGCGCAAUGGGCGCAAGCCUGACCCAGCCACGCCGCGUGAGUGAUGAAGGCCUUCGGGUCGUAAAGCUCUGUGGGGAGCGACGAAAAUACGCUGGCUAACAUCCAGCGGACUGACGGUAGCUCCUUAGCAAGCACCGGCUAACUCUGUGCCAGCAGCCGCGGUAAUACAGAGGGUGCAAACGUUGCUCGGAAUCAUUGGGCGUAAAGCGCACGUAGGCGGUCCGACAAGUGGGGAGUGAAAGCCCUCGGCUUAACCGAGGAAGUGCUUUCCAAACUGUCGGACUUGAGUACGCAAGAGGAUCGCGGAAUUCCCGGUGUAGAGGUGAAAUUCGUAGAUAUCGGGAGGAACACCAGCGGCGAAGGCGGCGAUCUGGGGCGAUACUGACGCUGAGGUGCGAAAGCGUGGGGAGCAAA